UACGUAGGUGGCAAGCGUUGUCCGGAAUUAUUGGGCGUAAAGCGCGCGCAGGCGGUCCUUUAAGUCUGAUGUGAAAGCCCACGGCUCAACCGUGGAGGGUCAUUGGAAACUGGGGGGACUUGAGUGCAGAAGAGGAGAGUGGAAUUCCACGUGUAGCGGUGAAAUGCGUAGAGAUGUGGAGGAACACCAGUGGCGAAGGCGACUCUCUGAUCUGUAACUGACGCUGAGGCGCGAAAGCGUGGGGAGCGAACAGG
rnacentral:rRNA from 1 species